ensembl:snRNA U6 U6 spliceosomal RNA
GCCAGAGCAUUGUAGGGACCUAAUGGAACGAUACAGAGAUUAGCACGGCCCCUACGCAAGGGUGACACGCAAAUUCGUGAAGGGUUCCAUAUUUUU